UAUGGGACAAUGGGCGCAAGCCUGAUCCAGCCAUGCCGCGUGAGUGAUGAAGGCCCUAGGGUUGUAAAGCUCUUUUAGCGGGGAAGAUAAUGACGGUACCCGUAGAAUAAGCCCCGGCUAACUUCGUGCCAGCAGCCGCGGUAAUACGAAGGGGGCUAGCGUUGCUCCGGAAUCACUGGGCGUAAAGGGUGCGUAGGUGGAUAUUUAAGUCAGGGGUGAAAUCCUGGAGCUCAACUCCAGAACUGCCUUUGAUACUGAGUAUCUUGAGUUCGGGAGAGGUAAGUGGAACUGCGAGUGUAGAGGUGAAAUUCGUAGAUAUUCGCAAGAACACCAGUGGCGAAGGCGGCUUACUGGCCCGAUACUGACACUAGCACGAA
rnacentral:rRNA from 1 species